rnacentral:rRNA from 1 species
GUCCACGCCGUAAACGAUGAGUGCUAGGUGUCACGGGCUUUGACCCUCGUGGUGCCGUAGCUAACGCAAUAAGCACUCCGCCUGGGGAGUACGGUCGCAAGACUAAAACUCAAAGGAAUUGACGGGGGCCGCACAAGCGGUGGAGCAUGUGGUUUAAUUCGACGCGACGCGCAGAACCUUACCUGGGCUAGAAACACAGGAACCCGGGUGAAAACUCGGGGUGCUCUUCGGAGAAUCUGUGGUUAGGUGUUGCAUGGCUGUCGU